UACGGAGGGUGCAAGCGUUAAUCGGAAUUACUGGGCGUAAAGCGCGCGUAGGCGGCUUGAUAAGCCGGUUGUGAAAGCCCCGGGCUCAACCUGGGAACGGCAUCCGGAACUGUCAGGCUAGAGUGCAGGAGAGGAAGAUAGAAUUCCCGGUGUAGCGGUGAAAUGCGUAGAGAUCGGGAGGAAUACCAGUGGCGAAGGCGGCCUUCUGGACUGACACUGACGCUGAGGCGCGAAAGCGUGGGUAGCAAACAGG
rnacentral:rRNA from 1 species